rnacentral:rRNA from 1 species
CCUACGGGUGGCUGCAGUGGGGAAUAUUGGACAAUGGGCGAAAGCCUGAUCCAGCCAUGCCGCGUGUGUGAAGAAGGCCUUCGGGUUGUAAAGCACUUUCAGUGGGGAAGAAAGCCUUGGGGCUAAUACCCUCGAGGAAGGACAUCACCCACAGAAGAAGCACCGGCUAACUCCGUGCCAGCAGCCGCGGUAAUACGGAGGGUGCGAGCGUUAAUCGGAAUUACGGGGCGUAAAGCGCGCGUAGGCGGUCUGAUAAGCCGGUUGUGAAAGCCCCGGGCUCAACCUGGGAACGGCAUCCGGAACUGUCAGGCUAGAGUGCAGGAGAGGAAGGUAGAAUUCCCGGUGUAGCGGUGAAAUGCGUAGAGAUCGGGAGGAAUACCAGUGGCGAAGGCGGCCUUCUGGACUGACACUGACGCUGAGGUGCGAAAGCGUGGGUAGCAAACAGGAUUAGAUACCCCAGUAGUC